CUUCUCGCCAAGUUCCAGUCCGCGGCUCGUCCCCCGUGAGGCGGCGGCCGGGAUGGGGGCGGCUGCGAGGCGGACCGGCCCGCGGGCGCUGCUGCUGCCGCUGGCGCUGGCCGUGGCAUGUGCGGCGCGCAGCGCCGACGGGCCCAGCAACAUGUCCUACGUGAAGGAGACUGUGGACAGGCUGCUCCAAGGCUACGACAUCCGCCUCCGCCCCGACUUCGGAGGUCCGCCCGUGGAUGUAGGCAUGCGGAUAGAGAUCGCCAGCAUCGACGUGGUCUCGGAGGUCAACAUGGACUACACCCUGACCAUGUACUUUCAGCAGUCCUGGAGGGAUAAAAGGCUCUCUUAUUCUGGAAUACCUUUGAACUUAACUCUGGACAACAGAGUGGCUGACCAGCUCUGGGUGCCGGACACGUAUUUCCAAAAUGACAAGAAAUCAUUUGUCCAUGGGGUGACAGUGAAAAACCGAAUGAUUCGACUCCAUCCAGAUGGGACAGUCCUUUAUGGCCUACGGAUCACAACAACAGCUGCUUGCAUGAUGGAUCUACGCAGAUAUCCUCUGGAUGAACAAAACUGCACACUAGAAAUUGAAAGUUAUGGAUACACUACUGAUGAUAUUGAAUUUUACUGGAACGGAGGAGAGUCAGCAGUAACAGGAGUUAAUAACAUCGAGCUCCCGCAGUUUUCUAUUGUGGAUUACAAGAUGGUAUCUAAGAGAGUGGAAUUUACAACAGGAGCAUAUCCUCGACUAUCACUUAGCUUCCGGCUUAAAAGAAAUAUUGGAUACUUCAUUUUGCAAACCUAUAUGCCUUCCACCCUGAUCACAAUUCUGUCGUGGGUGUCUUUUUGGAUCAAUUAUGAUGCCUCUGCAGCCAGAGUUGCUCUAGGAAUCACGACUGUGCUGACCAUGACCACCAUCAGCACCCACCUCAGGGAGACCUUGCCAAAGAUUCCCUAUGUCAAGGCAAUAGAUAUUUACCUGAUGGGAUGUUUUGUGUUUGUGUUCCUGGCCUUGCUGGAAUAUGCCUUUGUAAACUACAUAUUCUUUGGGAAGGGACCUCAACGUCAAAAAAAGACAGCAGGCAGGGCAGGACAUGCCACAGGAGAGAAGAGCAGACUGGAAACAAAUAGAGUCCAGGAGACAGUGAGGGCACAAAUUCAGUUCAGGCAAUCAGCAGUCUCCAAGACCCCACAAAGUGCUGUCUUCCACUGAGCAGAGGAGAUAAGUCAGCCCAGCUUGUUGUGCACAGACACUGCCUAUCCAUUUCUAUGGAAAAUAAGGAAGGGAAAAAAACAACGCAACACACAAACUCUGACCAGCUACCUCAACAGCUCCUGAGAUGAUCCAGUCUAGGUGAGAAGCAGCACAGCAAGGAUUCAUGACAAAGAAGAAGUUAAGACUUCUUCAGAGGCCAGCCUUGGCUACAUGUGCCCCAGUGCACUGAACUGAGUAAAGGAUAAGAGUGCAGGUAAGUUCUUCUCCUACAUAUUUGGAGAGUUUGUUUAACUAACAAAAUGCCAUAAGUCAUAACUAAAAGCUUUUGUCUAAAUGUUGCGCAGAAAAGAUUACGCUGAGAUUGGUACGCAGAAUGGGAUGGAAAGAUUUUAAAGCACCACAUCAUUUUUCUGAUAGAAAAAGGAGGUCAUACAUGCUUGGUACCAGGAUUUCUAGGUGUUCACACUUCAGAGGAGCAAUCCCAUUCUGAGAUUGAGAGUGCUUUAAAUGAACAGACUGCUUUCUGCCUGUAGAGUGCAGGUUUGUGAUCUUAAAUACAAAUUUAUGCACACAUAUCCAUAAACACACACAUGUGAAUGGAUAUCGGUGAAUUUUCUGUUCCACACACUGAUGUGAGACAUUGUGAACAUUAAUUUUAUUCAGCAUAAAAAUGCUGAUUUCCAAUAGUUGUAUUUCUGUCUUUGGCAGGAAGAAUGCACAUGACCAGAGCAGUGGGACGCAACAAGGUUAUGUGACCUCCAGUGAAAGAGCUUCCUGCCCCUCUCCAUGAUUUUUUGAGAUUUUUCACUGAUAUUAUGAUGCCUCCACCAGAGCAAGGGAAAGGUUUUUUUGAGCAUAAAAGAAGUGCAGUUGUAAGUGAAGAUAUUGAUCAUUCCCAUCUGACAUACAACUCUAAAGACUAAAAGAGUUCAAAUUUCUUCACCUGAUAACACAAGCUCUAGCUGCAUGAGCAACACUCAGCAAACAGACCACGAUAUUAACAGUAUAGAGAAGACCAGAUGAAAAAUGAAAUGGAACUUCUGUUUCAUGGGUUCCAUGCUCUACAGAGUGAAGAUGGAAAUAAAGUCUCUCCAGCUUCACAAUGUUGAUGAUGACUAUGGGAACAUGAUUCUCAGAGCACUUGAAAGACGAAGUGACGUGUGCAGCUCAGAUGUGUUCACGAGCC